rnacentral:rRNA from 1 species
UACGAAGGGGGCUAGCGUUGCUCGGAAUUACUGGGCGUAAAGGGAGCGUAGGCGGACAUUUAAGUCAGGGGUGAAAUCCCAGAGCUCAACUCUGGAACUGCCUUUGAUACUGGGUGUCUUGAGUGUGAGAGAGGUAUGUGGAACUCCGAGUGUAGAGGUGAAAUUCGUAGAUAUUCGGAAGAACACCAGUGGCGAAGGCGACAUACUGGCUCAUUACCGACGCUGAGGCUCGAAAGCGUGGGGAGCAAACAGG